GUGAGCCGCAUGCGGGGAGACCCACCCGCACGUACGGUUUUUAGGGGGAUCUGGUCGAAAAACCGGCCGGCGCCCACCCGAC
rfam:Solanum tuberosum cultivar DM 1-3 516 R44 scf00010_129, whole genome shotgun sequence.